GCUGCAGAAUGCCUUUCUUCCUUUUCCUGUUUAUGUUGUCCAUGAUGAAAUGCUGAGUUGGAAUGUUCUUAUAUUUAAGACCUGUUCAGCAUUUUCUCUUUUUCCUCACAUUUAUGUUAGCCUUUUCCUUUAAUUAUGUUGAUGUUGUUUUUCUUGGCAAGGCCGCCCUUUCCAUUAUGGUGUGUUUACCUUCCAAACAGUCCCACUUCCUCCUUAUCUUUGGGAGCCUAUUCACAUUUCUAACUCCAACUGCUCACUUCCCCUCCUCGGCAUAUCCUCACCUUCACAGCUCAGUUCUUUUUCUCUCUUUUCAACCCUUCUUUCAACUCUCACCCCCAACCCUCUCACCCCUUUGGAAUAACAAGUUAUUUCCUCUUUCAUUUCCUCUUACAGAAGAUGUUUUUGGACCCAUUCCAGAAAGUCUUUGGCAUGAAAGCGUACCCAUGCGGUUCUGUGUUUCCUUUGGGCACAUUUCCAGAGGUGUUUCAUCGGCCUGAAGCCCUCCGCCUUCACACCAAGUUAAGCCUGGCUCUGUCAAUCAUGUUCGUCAUCCCUCCAGCAUUCCUGGUCAUCCAGAAGGAAGUUAUAGACAGUUGCAUCUAAACUGGAAGGAAAUUCGUGUCAAAAUUUCUGACUAAAAUUAAGUGUUUUCUACUUCUAGAAUUAGAAAAGUUAUGGGGCUAAUCAUAUUAAUUUGUCCUUUCAUGUGUAUUAGAGAGUUAUUAUCCUCUAUGACUAAUAAAACAGACUAAAAACUUUA